AUUGAACGCUGGCGGCAGGCCUAACACAUGCAAGUCGAACGAUAACAGGAAGCAGCCUGCUGCUUCGCUGACGAGUGGCGGACGGGUGAGUAAUGUCUGGGAAACUGCCUGAUGGAGGGGGAUAACUACUGGAAACGGUAGCUAAUACCGCAUAACGUCGCAAGACCAAAGAGGGGGACCUUCGGGCCUCUUGCCAUCGGAGGUGCCCAGAUGGGAUUAGCUAGUAGGUGGGGUAACGGCUCACCUAGGCGACGAUCCCUAGCUGGUCUGAGAGGAUGACCAGCCACACUGGAACUGAGACACGGUCCAGACUCCUACGGGAGGCAGCAGUGGGGGAUAUUGCACAAUGGGCGCAAGCCUGAUGCAGCCAUGCCGCGUGUAUGAAGAAGGCCUUCGGGUUGUAAAGUACUUUCAGCGGGGAGGAAGGCGAUAAGGUUAAUAACCUUGUCGAUUGACGUUACCCGCAGAAGAAGCACCGGCUAACUCCGUGCCAGCCGCCGCGGUAA
rnacentral:rRNA from 1 species